CUGUGUAUUUCACUUUUAUUUCCGGGGCUGCUGUGUUGUACAUGGGGGUGUUUAAUAUUUUUCAUUCAUCGUCCCUUUCUCCCAGGUGAAGCAGCACAAACCUGCCUCUGCUUUCGGACUCGCUAAGCUGGCCGUCACCAAGCUGGAGCUGAAGUGGCUGAAAGCUUUCUGCCGCUUGAGGAAGCAUAUGGCGCGAUAUGAGACUUCUGUGGGGUGGCUUUUCUUUUCUGGCACACAGGCCAGGAUUUCUGUGCAUGUCAAGCUUGCCCUGCGGGCACUCGUGGGAAGGGACAUCACUGUGUCGGACAUCCGCAUGGCUCUAGCAACCUACUGCGAACGCAAUCUGUCUGACGAACGGCACAUGCUCGUGACCAAAACGAUGUGCCACAGCAAGGAGCUGAGUCGUGGAGCUGUCGGUCAGCGAGGCGCACUCCGCCCAGUCUGCGCUUGAGUCUGCUACGGGCAUAGGUGCUACAUAGGCCGGUUGUUUUCGGCUAAUGGCCGUGUGUGUGUGUGUGUGUGUGUGUGUGUGUGUGUGUGUGUGUGUGUGUGUGUGUGUGUGUGUGUGUGUGUGUGUGUGUGUGAGUGAGUGUGUGAAUAUUUCAUUAAAAA
ensembl:lncRNA